GAUGAAGAACGUAGCGAAAUGCGAUACGUAAUGUGAAUUGCAGAAUUCAGUGAAUCAUCGAAUCUUUGAAUGCAUAUUGCGCUCUCUGGUAUUCCGGAGAGCAUGCUUGUUUGAGUAUCAGUAAACACCUCAACUUCCAUAUCUUUUUUGAAAUGGGAGUUGGACUUGAGUGAUCCCAACGCUUUUCCUCACCGAAAAGUGGCGGGUUACUUGAAAUGCAGGUGCAGCUGGACUUUUCUCUGAGCUAUAAGCAUAUCUAUUUAGUCUGCCUAAAAAACAGAUUAUUACCUUUGCUGCAGCUAACAUAAAGGAGAUUAGUUCUUGUGCUGACUGAUGCAGGAUUCACAAAGACGGCUUCGGCCGACUUUGUAAACUCGAUCUCAAAUCAAGUAAGACUACCCGCUGAACUUAAGCAUAUCAAUAAGCGGAGGA
rnacentral:misc_RNA from 1 species